CCUACGGGUGGCAGCAGUGGGGAAUAUUGGACAAUGGGCGCAAGCCUGAUCCAGCCAUGCCGCGUGGAUGAUGAAGGCCUUAGGGUUGUAAAGUCCUUUUAACGGGGAAGAUAAUGACGGUACCCGUAGAAUAAGCCCCGGCUAACUUCGUGCCAGCAGCCGCGGUAAUACGAAGGGGGCUAGCGUUGCUCGGAAUUACUGGGCGUAAAGCGCACGUAGGCGGCUCUUUAAGUCGGGGGUGAAAUCCUGGAGCUCAACUCCAGAACUGCCUUCGAUACUGAAGAGCUUGAGUCCGGGAGAGGUGAGUGGAACUGCGAGUGUAGAGGUGAAAUUCGUAGAUAUUCGCAAGAACACCAGUGGCGAAGGCGGCUCACUGGCCCGGUACUGACGCUGAGGUGCGAAAGCGUGGGGAGCAAACAGGAUUAGAUACCCCAGUAGUC
rnacentral:rRNA from 1 species